CAGAAGAAGCUUAUAAAUUGUUCAAAGAAUUCGAGGAUCAAAUAGUAUUGGAGUAUGGAAAUAGAAUUGAAGAUGAGGGCGCACCACAGUUUGAUGAGACAACUGUGCCUGACAAGAAAAAAGAUACAGAUGAUCCACCAGGCGAGGGGCCAAUUCUUAGGUGGACAACUAGGGCGGUCUUUGCCCCCGGUGGUGAUGCGUGGCAUCCCAAAAACAGGAAAGUCAAGAUGUCAGUUACUGUCAAGGAACUUGGCCUUUCAAAGCAUCAAUAGGCGGUUAAGAGAACUAGUUGGCAAACGUUAUCAUCCUGGUAGAGAUGAACUUACAAUCACUAGUGAGAGGUAGUGCUUGAUCUUUUACUUGAUUUAGUAAUCCUUAUCUUGAUAUGUGUCAGCCUUUUGCUCAAGUUUUCUGUGUUAGGGAUAAUUAGCAGCCAAUUCUCUAUUGCACAUUUGCUUGGCAUAUAUGAUGGGUGAUUACGGAAAGGAGUGAUAGUCAGUUUGGUUUUAUUUACAGGUAUGAACACAGAGAAGAAAACAGGAAAGAUUGCCUGAGAACUCUCUUCUCAAUAAUAGAGGAAGCUGGGAAAGCAAACAAAUUGGCUGACGAUGCUCGAGUAUCAUAUGUCAAGUCCAGACUGAAGGCCAAUCCAGCUUUUAUGGAGAGGCUGCGUGUAAAGGUUGCAAGCCGAAGUUGUAGUAAUGUAGUUAAUGCAUGAGCAUGAUUCUUCGACAGGCUGCAACUAAAAGCUUGAGCAUGUUUCAACUCGAGUUCUGGGAAAUCGACCCCAUCUCAAUGCUACUUAUCAAAUGAUGCUUCUGGCCUACUUUUCGGCCUUCUACAUAUCGACAGAAGAACAUUGCAUAUCCUUGUUAUCAGGCCGCCACUUACCCUGAUGAUGAAGUGAGGAAGGUGUUGUUAUGCUUCUGAAAGAUAUGGCGAAGCCUAACAUGGAAUAAGAUUGUGAUGUAUUCUAGUUACGAUUGAUAAUGGUUUAAUAUCCUAGCAUUGCAUGCACUACUGCCUAAUUACACAAUUAUACAUAGGGUGUGGGUGAUAUUGAUAUUCAAUCACCCAAUAAUAGCUAUUUGAGAUAUCUCCGUGUUUUGGAGUUUAAAUAGUUAGCUAUUUGGUGAUAUUGAAUGUCGCAAUAUUGUGAUAUUUAAUACUCACCAACAUAAUUGUCUCCAAGAUAAUUUAAUAGUUACAAGCAAGUGAGGGUUAUAAUAGUAAUUUUCUCUAUCCUCAUUAUUACAAACCAUGACCCACACCACAUCUAAUCAUUUUAAACUCUACCACUCAAUAUCCUACACCAAACAUGAAUAUUCAUACUUUUUGAAUUCAAUAUCAAUCUCACCCAAUAUCAUGAUCUUUCAAAUAGCUAGUUAUUUGAUAUAUCACUAAUCAAACGAGGCCAAAACGUUUUUAAAAUUACAGAUUUGACAUGAACUAUACAAAAAAUGGCCAAAAUAGAACGGUUGUUUUUCUCCGUUAGUGUGUAUAGGUGGCAAGAUGUUAAUGAAGGUGAAAACGAAGUUGACGAGACUGUCCAUGAAUUGAGUUGAGCCGAAUUUCACCAUGCUUAAGCAUGCCUUGUUAAUUUUUACGCGAGCUCGAGCUCAAACUCAAGUUAGAAAUUAAUGGCUUGUGUUGAGCUCGAGUUUGACUCAUUAACUACCAUUCAUGAGCAAAACAUGAACUAACUCGAACUUUCCUCAUUAAAACCCACGAUAGGAGUCUAAUAUGAGUUGAAUUUGAAGUUUGUACGCUAAAAAACCAACCCGGCUAUCGUUCCAAGAGGCGGUUCCAAGAGAUUGUCCCGACAGAUCGUGGGUCGUUGGAUCAGGCUACUUUUGGGUCAACUUUCAUCCAACGGCUGAAAAUAAGUCAAACGAAUUGACUUGAAUGAGGGGUAGUUUCAGAACAAAAAAAUUGGAAACAAUCACAUUAGUGUGGUCAGUGUACGAGCAUGUUAUGUCGCUAAUACGACCAUUUUACGGGCUGGUUAUGUAGUUGUUACAUCCAUCCUGCGAGUAGUUGAAUUCAUCGUCGUUAUAUCCAGUUUACCACUCUUUUAUGUCAGUGAUAUAUACACUUUAUGAGUCUGUUAUGCGUUUUUUAUUAUAUUCUUUUAAUAGGCUCAUUAUGCCGACUUCAUAUGUAUAUUGUUAUAUCUAUGUUACUUCAUUAUUACAUCAUUCUUAUGUCAUUAUUAUAUCCCGUUUACGUGAGAAGAGUAGAAAGAAGAGAGAAAAAAGUUGAAAGAGAGAAUAUUUUUUAACUCCCAUUAUACCCCUGGUAAAAUUUCAACCGUCAUAUUAAAAUUGGAGAAAAUGAUUUCGGACAGUUGGAUCGGCUGUCGGAUUGAUCCGAGAGAAAUGUCUCUCGAAGCGAUAGCAAUUUCGCUAAAAAAUAUCGACAAGUCAAAUAUAAAAACAAGCUAUAUUAAAGGUUAUAAGUUUCUACAUAAGUUUUAUUGUAUAUGAUAUUUAAGGCAAGACACAUAUUAGAUUAUUGAGUCUAUUGACGAGCCAUAUUAUUGAAUUUGUAUCCGAGUUGGCUCUCGAGCUCGAGUUCAAACCAGCUCGUGAGUCUAUCGAGUCAAACACACCUUAACUCAAGUUUAACUCGUUUAAAAUCAAACCAAAUCAAGAAUGAAUUUUGUCCAAACUGAACUUCAAAGGUGGCUUGAUUGGUCAACAACUUGUUUAAAAAUUAUCCAAUUAACCAUAAAAAAUUAAAAUGCUAUAAUUUUAUAGGCUUAACGGCCUGACCCAGGAGCAUCGUUAAACCCGAAAUCAUUGAUUUCACCGGUUCACUCUGGUCUGAUUCUGAAAACGACGUUCAAAACCCGAAACACAAAAUAGGAAUACGGAAAGCCCUAAAACACUCCCUUCCUUUUCGCAGUAUCCUCAGCCGUAGCAAGCAGCAGCUCGUCGCCGUCGGCUCCUGGCUUACGUUCAGUAUUUUCGUCUCUCUGUGUAAAGGUCUAAGCCUCUUUUCCCUCUGUUUUCUCGGCGGCAGAUACUUCCACAUCUGGAAGCAAUCGGCGGCGACGGAGCAAUACUGCUAAACUAUCCUAAGGUACGUUUCUCCGUUAUGAAUUAUUUGCUGGUUGGUUUGUACAAACUUGAUUGGGUUUAAUUUGACUACUUACUGUUGUUCUUUCUUCAUCCAUUAGGACUCUUUUUUGUUAUUAUUGACGUGUUCUUGUUUUUAGCUCUGUAAUUAUGCUUACGCCGUUUAGGGGAUUUAUUUGGCAUGCCAUUGAAGGGGAUUGAUUGACAAUUUGGUAGCUGGAUUUCUUAGGUAACAAAAAUGGGUUCCUCCCGGAAGAAGAUGAGGAGAACUAGAGACAGUGACAGCGAGUUAGAAGACGGUUUUCAGAAUGAGGACUUAAUGGUCGGUAGUGUCCUCGUUGAGUAGCUUGAUUUUUUGAUUUCAUGACAUUUUUAGGUGUGAUAUACUUUUGACAAUCUCUGGAUGCAGACGGUAGAACAGGGUAGUGAUCGUGAAUAUGUGGAAGAGGAGGAAAACGGAGAUGGUACGGACCAAGAAGGAGAUGAGGAAGAUGAGGAGGAGGAUUCUGAUGAAGAUGAGAAUGAAGAAAUUGGUUCUAGUGAGGACGAGGACGAGGGAAUUGAAGAGAUUGGUUUACUAAAGAAUAACACUCACAAAGAUGACGAGUUGGAAGAUCUCGAUAAGGAAUACAGGGACCUCCAAAAUCAACAACUGUAAGUAAGAGUUUAGCUGUUUAGAAGUUAGAACUGUAAGUAAGAGUUUAGCUGUUUUCAUCAUUCGAGUUAUUCUAGUUCAAAGAGCAAAGUGACAUUGUCGAUGGAUCAGUGGUAUCUAGUUAUGGUUGUUCUUUUUGUUUUUGAUGAAUGAGUAAUUAGUAUAUAAAUUGACAACAAUGCAAAUAGUGACUCAUGAGUGUGAAAUAUGUACAAUGGUCCAUUUUGGUCAUUAAGGUGGAGUCGGUCAUUAAUUGGGAACUUAAGCUGAGAGACUUAACUUGAAAAGGCUGGAAGUGGAUUUUCUCUGUAUCUUGAUUUUUCUUAUCUCCAUUUUAGAGCAAGUACAUGGAUACCGAACAGAUGUGACUGGUGGAACUGUUGUUGGAUUCUUAUGAUUGUGUACGAGUGGCUAUUAUCAGUAAUGUGAUGGUUUAGAAGUAUGUGUCACUUGCAUAAUUGAUCAUGCUAGUGUGGGCUUCUGAAAUUCUGUUUUGGAGAUUUUAUAGUCUGUACUAUUCCUGUCUCUUGGUACAGAGACUUUCUGAAGAACCUCAAACUCCAUAAAGAAGAAGAUAUUCUUAAAGGUCAAGCUGUGAAGAACCAGAAGGUUGUAUCUGAUUGCUUGAUGUCUGUUCAUUCUCAUUCAAGUUGGUGUUUUUGGUGUUGCUGCUGGACACUGAUAAAUCAUUUUGUUUUUGGUUUUGUUUCUGCAAGGCUAUCUGGGAAUUGAGUCUUGGACUUAGGUUCUCACUUCAGGAACCAUUCUCAAAUUCAAAUAGACUUCCACUGGUAUGAUCGUUUGUUGUUUUCUGACUUGCGUUCAUCAUUACUGACUAGCAUUAUGAAGGAUGAUUGUGACGUAAAGACUUGUCUGCAGGAACCUAUUCGGUCUACAUUUUGCAAUUCAGAUAAAGGAGUGAGGGAGGCUUAUGAUGAUCUCGUUGUCUCAUCCAAAAAGACUCUGGAAUCUCUAGUCGAACUAGAAGAGGUAUAUCUGUAAUGUAAAAGCAAAAUCGUUUCAGUUUCAAUAUUACUGAUUGUUACUUGGUCCUCUUUCUGUAUUUUAACACAUUACACUUUUUUGGGUUUUUCUCUGUAGGCUCUACUCGAGAGGAAUCCUUCAAUUUCUCAAUCAUCUACUGGUAAGAAUCCUUUGAUCUGCGUGGAAAUAUUUGAGUUUUGUAUACUAUAUUACUAUUGAAGUCUAAAUAUUGUUCUUAUCAUCUUUAAGGUAAUGUUGGGAAGUCUUUGAAGAAGCAGUCCACUCACUUGAAUGAUGAAGAAGAGGAAGAAUGGUCUAGAAUUUCAAAAUUGCAUACAAGGUACUGAAGUAGUUGCAUGACAUUUAAGGUUAUGCGUGCUUAAUCCUUUCUCUUAUGUGUGUUUUCAUGUGGUGGCUAACAUGGCCUAUGAGGAAAACCUUUCUCUUGCUAUGGAUGGAAACUGUCUUCAUUUGUUGUUUGAAUGUGACAUCAGUGUUUGUACAAUGAAAGGUGACAUCAGUCUUUGUAAAUGGCUUUCUGUAAAACGUGGCUGAAUCUAGAAGCAUGUGAAGUAAUGGAAUGGAUGAAUUUGUAUUCGCUAGUGCGGAUGUAGUUCCACCUUUCUAAUUGUUCAAGGAGACUUCUGGGUUGUUGAAGUUGCAUUUCAACAGUUAAUUAAAUUCUCUAUCAGACCAUUUUUAUGUAGCCUCUGAAAUUAAAGCACUUUUAAUUGUUCUAUCUUGCAGGAUAGCUCCAUUCAGAAAUAAAUCCAUUGAUAAAUGGCAGAGAAGGUCACAAGUUACAACUGGUGCAGCAGCUAUUACGAACAAGUUGCAUGCUUUCAAUCAGGUUGGGAAUAAUUUCCAGAAGUCGGUUGCUUCAUUAUGUGUAGAUUUUGAUUGAACGCCCUGACAUUUUCCCCCCUUAUCGAAUCAUAGAAUAUAAGCGAACAAGUUGCUGCAUCUAUGAGGGAUUCGAGCAAAAUGGUUAAGCAAAUGCAGUUGAUAAGGUCCACUGCUAGAGUUUUUGGUGAUGUAAGUUGUCCGCACAGCAGCUUGUUUUUUGUCCUGUUUCUGCUGAUUGAUAAUGUCUGCUUAUUUGUUUAUACUUUGUUAAUUGAUGAGAUAGGUUACAUCCCAGGAAAGCAGUCUUAACGGCAAGGUAAUUAUCUCUUUUUUGAGAACAUGAUUGAUCUCAGAAUGUAAAUAAGAGGUUCUUUAAUAAUUCAAUCGUGUAGUAAUCUUUAUCAACUUUGUUUAGGAGGCACAACCUGAUGGGGACCCCGAACUUUUUGAUGAUUCUGAGUUUCGUCAACGACUACUUGUGGAAUUCUAUAAAUCAGUUGAUCCGGACUCAACUGGUACUUACGGACUCCACGAGCACCUAGUCUCGAAACUGUAUUAGGCAUUAUUAUCAUCAUGGUUAUCUGAUAUCUUACACGAGUCGAUGUUAUGAACUUAAUUCCAAACUUUUCCCUGCAUAUUGGUUUCUUUCAGAAAGGGCACUUUAUGCUCUUAAAAGGGAUCAAACCAAGAAGAGAAAGAUUGUGGACCGGCGCGCCUCAAAGUACCGCAAGAUCAGGUAGUGUAGCCUGUAGUACUGAUACAUAUUCGUAGAAGUACCAUUAGCUGCUAGUCAUAUAUUUAUGUUAAUAACGACUUUUGUUGGGGUUUGUAGGCACAGUGUACACGAGAAGAUUGUGAAUUUCAUGGCUCCUCAGCGUGUGGUUCGUCCACCUAUGGCUGAUAAACUACUUGAGAAUUUGUUCGGUCUCAAGAGACCAAAAGCGUAGAAGACACAUUCCGGCUAAGGCGCUUCACUCAAGAGAAGUGCGAUGUGAGGCCAUCCCGAAGCUGCUUUGGAAACAUUUCGGAUGUCAGGAAUUCGAAUUUGGCUAGGCAAAUUGCCAUCUUGUUCACUUUUCCUUCUGUCAAAAUUUUGAUAGGUAGUUUCACUUAUAAGGUAUAACGUUGGGUGACUAUCGGUAUCCCCGAUGCUUCAAUCCCUAAUUUAAGACAUUGUCAGACCAAUUUGAAAAACGUGAACUUGUACCAAUUUCCGUAUGUACCGGUUUUACUUGGUAGAAAGUUGAUAGGAGUUGAGUUGGAUUUUCACAAACACUCAAGUUGAGUUUAUUUAUUUCAGAAAUGAGUCUUAAGUGCUCAGCUUGAUUAAUAUCAUGUCAUACCCUCAUGUUGAUUUCAUCAUGCUGACACUUCGAUGCCAGCAUCCUCAUAUUGAGCUUGCGGUAUUGACACCCUCAUGUUGAUUUCAUUGUGCCGGCCUCCUUGCAUAGACAAAGACCGAGAGAAUGCAAGCCAUCAGAGAAAGGGGGAGAUGAAGCACGUCAAUGUGUCCUGGAAGGAACACACAUGGUGAGGCGAUCCGAAGCAGAAUCCUCGUCUAAGCCGAUAACACCUCAUCAACGAGGGAAGUGACAAGACAGACCUUCAGACAUAUAUAACAACCCUGCAAAAGUAGCACUUCAUGAGCAAGCUAAGACACAUCGAUAUAUUACCACAUGCCACAAAGGAGAAGAAACUACCACCGUCACGAUUAUAGUCACACGUAAAAAUUGCUGCCAAGUAACAAUUGCUUUCUUUGUUGACAUCAUCAUGUUUCUGUCAGUAAUCCUAUAUUGUCCUUACAUUUGUUGUAUGACUUAUUUGUGAUUUUCCAACCUUAUUUCAUUAUGAAAAUAAAAUAUAAUUGCGGAUGCACUUGGACUUAAAAGAAAACAUUAUAGAUUUGUUUGUCCUGUAAAAUUGACAUAUUCGAAAUCAAUUCGGGCUAUGAAUCCGAAUAAAUUGCUAAAUCAAUUGAAUCCAGGACAAUCAUGUUUGUAGGAAGGCAUAUUCGUUAAUUGGUUGCUAUAAAAAUAACAUAUCCAUCACUCAUUGACUUAAAUCUAUAGCCCGACAAAAAUGUAAAUGAAAUCUGAUACGUUAGUGACAGCCAGCCUGCCCACCCGCGACCAUAAGAUGACCGAUGCAUGCUCACUUGUUUAAAAUACUUGAAUAGAUAUCGCUCAUGUGAGCACAGUAUCUUGAUCUACCUUCCCCAACUUUACUUUCUAGUUGGACUACAGAUUGCUCAUGUGAGCACAGUAUCAUAAUUUACAUUUUGACUUUUUAAACAACGAUUAUCAUCCAACAAGCUACAGAGAGUACAUAAAAUUUGCUGGCAUCAAAUAUACCGCAUGCUAAGAUGCUAGUAGAGUAUUGUUACUGAAUUAGUGCUUCCUUGAUGAGGUAGCAUUAGCUUCAUAGAUAUUACAUUAUGGUCCCUUAGCUUGAUGUGGAAGGCACCUAACCAAUGAGACCAUUUUCGACUCCCUCGAUGAGGAUGGCUCCGAACUUACUGAGGUCACCUCAGGCUCUAUUAACUAAUUAAGGAUACUCCUUCAUAAUCUCUUGAUCACGAGGACCGCCUCGACCCAAUGAGGUCACCUCGACCUUACGAGGUUGCACUGGGGUAAUGUCGCGAACCUCCGCACGAUCUUCAUCAAACUACCACCCAGAUUGCCCGCUGUCACGACUUGACUGGCCGGCAGUAUUAAUCCCUCCAUCGACUCAGAGACACAGUCUCGUCUACUUCCCUCUGUUGAUGGGUUGUGUUCUCCAUUAGUGACUUGUUUUUUUAGGUUCUACACUAAGUACUGUUGCCUAUCUGGCACGCUAGUGCUCUGACUUGAAGAAACGGUAUGGGUGAGCCUGUCUAGCGAACUCCAAGCUAAGAUCCACAUGAGUGUGAACUUCGUAGGGGAAAAGAUGUUAGUAAGAGGGUAAAUGAGUGAGAGCUAAGCGUUUAUAGAGAAUCUAGGAACCAUAGAAGUGUCGGGUGGAUGCCCCUUGAGCGGGUAUGUAAUGUCGCAUUCCCUUGAGCAGUGUCCUUUUAGGCUCCUUUUAUAGUGCCUUAGGGCUCGAGCUCUAUGCAGGUUUCCGACUUACGCUAGGGUUCCCGAAGUUGUCAAACGUUUCCGAAAGCUGCUGAGUGCGGACCACGGCUACAUCUUAGUCUCCCUUAGGCACGAAGCAUUCUAAAUUAUUGGGCAUUCUAAAGUAGCCCCGAAGAAUGUAGUCUAGUGGCCGAACCUUUUCCUGCAAUUGAAGUUGUAGUGACCGGAAAAACUCGUAACAAUGUGUUUUCAACCAGUGAGUGUUUUAUGUAGCCCUGAUUGCCGCCUACAUCCCAAUCGUCGAAGCUCUAGCCCGGCCACUGGAGUUACUGUUUUCUACUUUAUAUUAUUGCAAUGGAGAUAAUUGGUGGGGCCCAAACUAGGCAGUAAAAUACAAAUAAAACCAUAUUCAACGGAUAAGUUGCUUAUCAAAUAGUGACGUGGAUAUGACAAAUUAAUCAAGAAAUGGACAGUGAUUGGGGAGCUUCCUCACUUGUUAUAAAUAAAGUUACUGAAUCUUCCUAAUUGUUAUCUCACCACACUCUAAUACCAUCCAUAAGUUAUUGAAUCAUGAGCACUCUUCUUCUGAAAGGCAAGGCGGAGGCACAGUUUGCCAUCAGACUUGCUGCAAAAGAAUUCCACAGCAUCUUCAGUGCCAGACCUCACCAUGUCUCCAACAUGGCCCCUAACAAGAUCAAGAACUGCGCUAUGCAUCAAGGCGAAUGGGGCAAAAAGGGCACCAUCCUUGUCUGGGAUUACGUCCAUGGUACGUACUUAAUUAGUGUACAUCUCUUAAUCAAUAAUGUGAUUAACUAAUUAAUGAGCUAUAUCAUACGAUAUGGUCCAGACGGGGUUGCGAAGGUGGCCAAGGAAGUAAUCGAGGAGAUAGACGAGGCGAAUCUGUCGACGACAUUCAAGGUGAUUGAAGGGGAUAUAACAAAGGAUUACAAGGAGUUUAAGAUAACUGUGAAGGCGACUCCUCAAUCCGCGGAGACAAGUCUGAUCCAGUGGACGCUGGAGUAUGAGAAGCUCCGUGAGGACUUUCCUGACACCGAUGCCAUCUCCCUUCUGAACUUUGUCGUCCACAUGAGCAAAGACAUUGAUGAUCACCACACCAACCGAAACAACUAGUCGCCGAACGUCGUUCCUCCAGUUAUUAUAUAUGUGUGUGCCAGCGGGUGGUUACUAGUUACGCUAGUAGCUACUUCAACUUGGGUGGUUCCAUCCAUCCUUGUCGGAUCAUCAUCAGCUAGCGUGAUACGUACAAUAAAUGAUGAUGAAGGUCGGGUCUAAGUUUAUCUUUUAUAUAUUAUAUGUUGAUGUGAUGUAUCUUUUAAUUAGUUUUUGUACACUAUAUGAUGAUUGUCCCGAGUCGUCACCCUAUUGUACUAUUUUCAUGUAUUCAUGGUUAUUUGUAAUAUACUAGUAAGUUGCGUCGCUCUUUAUAUCAUAAUAUAAUCAGUAGAUGACGGGCUUUUUAAAUUAUCUAAAUUCAGUUUUUAAUUAGUGACCAUGCAUGAUAUUAUGG
rnacentral:lncRNA from 1 species